AGACCGUGCUUGGGAUUCUCUCUCUCUGCCCCACUCCCACUCUCCCUAAAAUAAACACACUUGAAAAAAAAUCCUGGCAAAAGGGAAGGCUAGAGAAAAGUGAGGAGCUGAGUUGGAAUUGGAGAGAUACACACACCUAAGUGGAUAUAAAAAGGUAUGUAUGUAUGUGUGUGUGCAUAAAUGCAUGUACUACCUUUGUCCAUCCAGAAUCAAUGAUAUCCCAAUAGCAACUAGCACAGCAAGAGUCCAAAUCUUGGUUCCUAAAUACCAUACUCCAUUAUUAAAAACUUGGGCUCUGUGAAUAAAUAGAUGAUUCCAGGGGAGGGGCAAGGAAACACAAGAUGAGCUUGGAACAUCUUAUGAAAAAAAUAAGGAAAUGCUUAAUGAAUGGAGGGAGAUAUUAUGAGAGGAAAAAAAAGGACACCGGAGCCACAAGGGGCUCCCCCAAUAAACAAAUCAGGGACAAUUUGGGCAUCAAAAUAAUGACAGUAAUAGACUGGAACUCACUGAAUGAAAUAGAAAUCUAUUAGUCUCUACUGAUAUAUAAACACAGGAAUAAAUAAAUGGGCGAAAAAGGACAAGCUCUUUCUUACAGGAGAAUGCCAACUAACAAAUGUGGGCAAAAACCUGGAAAAAGAGAAUCAUUACUUGGCAAUCAUCAUAGUGGUGGCAGACAAAAGUAACAGUUGUCAGGAGAGGUUUGAUGAAGAAGAGGAUAUGAGUAUAAUCUCAGAUUAUCACCCACAGAUUAUUAAUUAGUUACAAAGAGAAAAACGGUGAAUUUCAGGUGAAGCCUGGGAGACACUGACACGACCAGGUGGUCAAGGUUAACAUGUCAGCGGAGAGAUUCAUGUGCCUCCUGAUGGGACGCGUGGCAAAAAGCACCGACAGCACAGGUCCUGAGUGUGGGCAGGAGACACAGGAGGCGGGGGGGCAGGGCAGGGAACUCAAGAAAGAAAGGCCUAACUUCUUUACGACUGACAAGGCCAUGGAAGACAAGAACGAACAACUGGUCAAGGGGAGAAUGUGAAGAGAAUGACAACUAAACGCUACCUGUGUGGUCCUGGAUAGGACUGUGGACCAGAAAGAGAACAGACAUAUCAGGAUGGCUGGCAAAAUCUCAGCAGCGUCUUGGGGCUGGAUGUCAGAUUCCUGCACUAGAGCCAGUUUCCUGACUUGGAGGGUUGUGUGCCGGCCACCUGGGAGCGCAUCUUUGUUUUGGGGGAAGAUACAACGGACUGUUAAAGAACGAUGCGACAUCACAUCUGCAGCUUGUUUUCAGAGAUCGGUAAAGCACACAUCUGAACUC